rnacentral:rRNA from 1 species
AGCAAAGCCGGGGACCGCAAGGCCUGGCGCUUUUGGAGAAGCCUACGUCGGAUUAGCUAGUUGGUGAGGUAAUGGCUCACCAAGGCUGCGAUCCGUAACUGGUCUGAGAGGAUGAUCAGUCACAUCGGAACUGAGACACGGUCCGAACUCCUACGGGAGGCAGCAGUGGGGAAUAUUGGACAAUGGGCGAAAGCCUGAUCCAGCAAUACCGCGUGUGUGAAGAAGGCCUUCGGUUUGUAAAGCACUUUAGGUCGGAAAGAAAAAACUUGAGUUAAUACCUUAAGUCUUGACGGGUACCGACAGAAUAAGCACCGGCUAACUCUGUGCCAGCAGCCGCGGUAAUACAGAGGGUGCAAGCGUUAAUCGGAUUUACUGGGCGUAAAGCGUGCGUAGGUGGCUGUUUAAGUCGGAUGUGAAAGCCCUGGGCUUAACCUGGGAACUGCAUUCGAUACUGGAUAGCUAGAGAUCGGUAGAGGGCAGCGGAAUUCCGGGUGUAGCGGUGAAAUGCGUAGAUAUCCGGAGGACACCGAUGGCGAAGGCAACUGCCU